CUUAAGUGCUGUAUUUUCUGUACGUGCUUUUUAUUGAGUCGGCCUCUACACCAUUGCACUUGAUAUUUCCUCUGCUCAGCUGGUCUUUCCUCCAAGCUCAUCCACAUCCUCCCAAUCACAGGGUCUCAGAGAAGCCUCUCUAACCAUCCCAUCUAAAGUGGCCUCCUCGGUAUGGGUUUUUUUGCUUAUUUCCAAAUUCACUGUGGUCAUGAGAGAAGCUAUUAAGUACUGAGAAAGUCAGAUUCAGCUGUCUGCUUUAAUGUGAAUCACACCAUGAUUGUGGAUCUUUGAAAAAGCAUGUAAGGAAAGAUUAUUUUAAGACCUGGUCCUGGCACUUUGCAAGUCUCUUCAGUUUAUAUGGUCGUCCUUCAAAGGCUUGUGAAAAAUUCUUCUAAAAAGAGACCUACACCUUGUAUCCAAAAGGGAUGGUACAGGACCAUGUCUCAGAUUCUAUGUAAAAACAACAACAACAAAAAAAACAAAAACACUCGAACAAAGAGGCAACAAAGACAAUAUAUUUCACUAAAAAUUUUAUUUUUAGAGCCCAUCAAUGGGCAAAUCCCAAACAGUAGCAAUACAGAGUAUUUAAGAACAUUUUAAUAUUUCUUUCUAUCCAUCUUUGUCUUCCUUUCCACAAACAAACAUACUGGAUUAAAGCAACAAUACUCUUAACCCCAAGUUCAAUGCCUGAGUACUUUCAAUAUCUAUUUUGAACACAUAAUAAAGCAGAGGCAGUUAAUUUUAUUUCCACUCGGAGCUUAGCAAUUACUUUAGCUUCACAUUAUUCUAUCACAAAUUAUAACCAAAUGGCCUACCUAAGCAGCUAAAAUCAUAAAAUUAUUAUAAGCCAAGUCAAUGGUAUGUAUAAAGUUAACAAAAAACAACUAGACUAGUAUACAUUUGUUUUGGGCCCUACAAGAAAUAUGCCAAAAUAACAAGCUUUAGUAAAAGAUGAGGUCCUUGGGCAGAGGAGAACGAGAAGUCAUAUCAUCAAAAAUUUUGAGGAAAACUUAGGUAAGAGGAAAUCAGC